rnacentral:rRNA from 1 species
GUGGGGAAUUUUGGACAAUGGGCGAAAGCCUGAUCCAGCCAUGCCGCGUGCAGGAUGAAGGCCUUCGGGUUGUAAACUGCUUUUGUACGGAACGAAAAGACUCCUUCUAAUAAAGGGGGUCCAUGACGGUACCGUAAGAAUAAGCACCGGCUAACUACGUGCCAGCAGCCGCGGUAAUACGUAGGGUGCAAGCGUUAAUCGGAAUCACUGGGCGUAAAGCGUGCGCAGGCGGUUAUAUAAGACAGAUGUGAAAUCCCCGGGCUCAACCUGGGAACUGCAUUUGUGACUGUAUAGCUAGAGUACGGUAGAGGGGGAUGGAAUUCCGCGUGUAGCAGUGAAAUGCGUAGAUAUGCGGAGGAACACCGAUGGCGAAGGCAAUCCCCUGGACCUGUACUGACGCUCAUGCACGAAAGCGUGGGGAGCAAACAGGAUUAGAAACCCCGGUAGUCC